AGUUCGAUCAUGGCUCAAGAUUGAACGCUGGCGGGAUGCUUUACAUACAGUCGAUGACAGUACGGACACGGUCUGGUGGCGAGUGGCGAACGGGUGAUGUGUAUCGGAACGUGCCCUGGCGGGGGAUAACUACGCGAAAGCGUAGCUAAUACCACAUACGCCCUUCGGGGGAAAAGCGGGACCUUCGAACUCACUAUUAGAGCGGCCGAUAUCGGAUUGGCUAGUUGGUGGAGUAACGGCUCACCAAGGCGACGAUCCGUAGCUGGUUUGAGAGGACGACCAACCACACUGGGACUGAAGAUUUGAAAGCCAGACUCUGCAGGAGAACGGCGAGUGGGGAAUUUUGGACAAUGGAAACCUGAUCCAGCCAUCCCGCGUGCGAUGAAGGCGGGGUUGUAAAGCACUUUUGGCAGGAAAGAAACGGCACGGGAUAAUACCCGUGCAACUGACGGUACCUGCAGAAUAAGCACCGGCUAACUACGAUGCCAGCAGCCGCGGUAAUACGUAAGGGUGCAGCGUUAAUCAGAAUUACUGGGCGUAAAGCGUGCGCAGGCGGUUCGGAAGAGUCUUGAAAUCCCGACAACUUUGGAACUGCAUUUUUAACUACCGAGCUAGAGUGUGUCAGAGGGAAGUGGAAUUCCGCGUCAGCAGUGAAAUGCGUAGAUAUGCGGAGGAACACCAUUGGCAAGAAGGCAGCCUCCUGGGAUAACACUGACGCUCAUGCACGAAAGCGUGGGGAACAAACGGGAUUAGAUACCUGGUAGUCACGCCCUAAACGAUGUCAACUGGCUGUUGGGGCCUUCGGGCCUUGGUAGCGCCUUCACUGCCCGUCAAAGUUGACCGCCUGGGGAGUACGGUCGCAAGAUUAAAACUCAAAGGAAUUGACGGGGACUACCACCGGCAGUGGAUGAUGGUUAAUUCAGGUAGCGAAAAGAACGCACCACCCUUGACAUGUCUGGAAUCCCGAAGAGAUUUGGGAGUGCUCGCAAAAGAGAACCGGAACACAGGUGCUGCAUGGCUGUCGUCAGCUCGUGUCAUUGAGAUGUUGGGUUAAGUCCCGCAACGAGCGCAACCCUUGUCGUGGUUGCACGAAAGGGCACUCUAAUGAGACUGCCGGUGACAAACCGGAGGAAGGUGGGGAUGACGUCAAGUCCUGUGGCUUCCGCUAUCGGUGCAGGGCUUCACACGUCAUACAAUGGUCGGGACGGGGUGCUAUUGCGCGAGGAGCCAAUCGGCCGAUCGUAGUCCGGAUCGCAGUCUGCAACUCGACUGCGUGAAGUCGGAAUCAUGUAGUAAUCGCGGAUCGUGCUGUGCUGUUGGAAUACGUUCCCGAGGUCUUGUACACACCGCCCGUCACACCAUGGGAGUGGGUUUUACCAAGUAGUUAGCUAACCGUAAGGAGGGCGAUUACAGUAAAGUUGUAUGGAGCAAGUCGUAACAAAGGUAA
rnacentral:rRNA from 1 species